GAUGAACGCUGGCGGCGUGCCUAAUACAUGCAAGUCGAGCGAACGGACGAGAAGCUUGCUUCUCUGAUGUUAGCGGCGGACGGGUGAGUAACACGUGGAUAACCUACCUAUAAGACUGGGAUAACUUCGGGAAACCGGAGCUAAUACCGGAUGAUAUUUUGAACCGCAUGGUUCAAAAGUGAAAGACGGUCUUGCUGUCACUUAUAGAUGGAUCCGCGCUGCAUUAGCUAGUUGGUAAGGUAACGGCUUACCAAGGCAACGAUGCAUAGCCGACCUGAGAGGGUGAUCGGCCACACUGGAACUGAGACACGGUCCAGACUCCUACGGGAGGCAGCAGUAGGGAAUCUUCCGCAAUGGGCGAAAGCCUGACGGAGCCACGCCGCGUGAGUGAUGAAGGUCUUCGGAUCGUAAAACUCUGUUAUUAGGGAAGAACAUCUGUGUAAGUAACUGUGCACGUCUUGACGGUACCUAAUCAGAAAGCCCCGGCUAACUACGUG
rnacentral:rRNA from 1 species